UUCCGGUUGAUCCUGCCGGACCCCACUGCUAUCGAGGUGGGACUAAGCCAUGCUAGUUGAGCGCACAGAACUAUGUCUGUGAGCGGCACACUGCUCAGUAACACGUAGCUAACCUACCCUUAGGACGUGGACAACCCCGAGAAAUUGGGGCUAAUCCGCGAUAGAUGUAUUGUCCUGGAAUGGUAUUACGUCUAAAGGUAUCCCAUACAUGUUUGGUAUACGCCUAAGGAUGGGGCUGCGGCCGAUCAGGCUGUUGGUGAGGUAAUGGCUCACCAAACCUUUGACCGGUACGGGCCAUGAGAGUGGUAGCCCGGAGAUGGACACUGAGACAAGGGUCCAGGCCCUACGGGGCGCAGCAGGCGCGAAACCUCCUCAAUGCACUUACGUGCGAAGGGGCUACCUCGAGUGCCACCUGAUGAAGGUGGCUUUUCCUAGGUCUAAAAAGCCUUGGGAAUAAGAGGGGGGCAAGACUGGUGUCAGCCGCCGCGGUAACACCAGCCCCUCGAGUGGUGGGGAUGAUUAUUGGGCCUAAAGCGUCCGUAGCCUGCCGUGUAAGUUUCCCGUUAAAUCCAGCGUCUUAAGCGUUGGACCGCGGGAAAUACUGUACGGCUAGAGAGUGGGAGAGGUCAGCGGUAUUCUGGGGGUAGGGGCGAAAUCCUUUGAUCCCCGGAGGACCACCAGUGGCGAAGGCUGCUGUCUAGAACACGUCUGACGGUCAGGGACGAAAGCUGGGGUAGCGAACCGGAUUAGAUACCCGGGUAGUCCCAGCCGUAAACGAUGCAUGCUAGGUGUUGGGUUGGCCACGAGCCACCCCAGUGCCGCAGGGAAGCCGUUAAGCAUGCCGCCUGGGAAGUACGAUCGCAAGGUUGAAACUUAAAGGAAUUGGCGGGGGAGCACCACCAGGCGUGAAGCCUGCGGUUUAAUUGGAGUCAACGCCGGG
rnacentral:rRNA from 1 species